UACGUAGGGUGCAAGCGUUGUCCGGAUUUAUUUGGGCGUAAAGAGCUCGUAGGCGGUCUGUCGCGUCGGCUGUGAAAACUCGGGGCUCAACCCCGAGCCUGCAGUCGAUACGGGCAGACUAGAGUUCGGUAGGGGAGUCUGGAAUUCCUGGUGUAGCGGUGAAAUGCGCAGAUAUCAGGAGGAACACCGGUGGCGAAGGCGGGUCUCUGGGCCGAUACUGACGCUGAGGAGCGAAAGCGUGGGGAGCGAACAGG
rnacentral:rRNA from 1 species